GACGAACGCUGGCGGCGUGCUUAACACAUGCAAGUCGAACGGUAAGGCCCUGCUUUUGUGGGGUGCUCGAGUGGCGAACGGGUGAGUAACACGUGAGUAACCUGCCCUUGACUUUGGGAUAACUUCAGGAAACUGGGGCUAAUACCGGAUAGGAGCUCCUGCUGCAUGGUGGGGGUUGGAAAGUUUCGGCGGUUGGGGAUGGACUCGCGGCUUAUCAGCUUGUUGGUGGGGUAGUGGCUUACCAAGGCUUUGACGGGUAGCCGGCCUGAGAGGGUGACCGGCCACAUUGGGACUGAGAUACGGCCCAGACUCCUACGGGAGGCAGAAGUGGGGAAUAUUGCACAAUGGGCGGAAGCCUGAUGCAGCAACGCCGCGUGCGGGAUGACGGCCUUCGGGUUGUAAACCGCUUUCGCCUGUGACGAAGCGUGAGUGACGGUAAUGGGUAAAGAAGCACCGGCUAACUACGUG
rnacentral:rRNA from 1 species